rnacentral:rRNA from 1 species
AGUGAACGCUGGCGGUAGGCCUAACACAUGCAAGUCGAACGGCAGCACAGGAGAGCUUGCUCUCUGGGUGGCGAGUGGCGGACGGGUGAGGAAUACAUCGGAAUCUACCUUUUCGUGGGGGAUAACGUAUGGAAACUUACGCUAAUACCGCAUACGACCUACGGGUGAAAGUGGGGGACCGCAAGGCCUCACGCGAUUAGAUGAGCCGAUGUCCGAUUAGCUAGUUGGCGGGGUAAUGGCCCACCAAGGCGACGAUCGGUAGCUGGUCUGAGAGGAUGAUCAGCCACACUGGAACAGAGACACGGUCCAGACUCCUACGGGAGGCAGCAGUGGGGAAUAUUGAACAAUGGGCGCAAGCCUGAUCCAGCCAUACCGCGUGGGUGAAGAAGGCCUUCGGGUUGUAAAGCCCUUUUGUUGGGAAAGAAAUCCUGUCGAUUAAUACUCGGUGGGGAUGACGGUACCCAAAGAAUAAGCACCGGCUAACUUCGUGCCAGCCGCCGCCGUAAAAC